UUGUUUCCAGGGUGCUGAUCCUACUGGUGGAUCAUUCAGAAAGUUAAUCAGGUGCUCCUAAAAUGGUUUUUGGAACUUCCAAGUUCUUACUCAGAAUUCCAAGCCAUAGGAGACAGGUAUCUAAGGUGCCAAGCUGAUUCCAUUGUGCAAAAAAUUUCCUCUCUGAAGGGACGUACACAUGAAACUAAAAAAACAACAUGAUGGGGGGGUGGGCUUUAUACAAAGUUGAGUGGGGUGACAGUGGUAUAGAGGAAAUGGGACUUUGCAAUUAUAUUUUUCUAAGUGGUCUGAACUUGGUCUCACUACCCACAUCACCUGGAAUGGUUACCAGGCCUCAAAGGACUGCCCCACGGGCUAAACGGCUGAUCCGCUCUCUGAAGCCAGACAGUCUUAUCUGGGAGGUCCUUUACAGAUGCCACUGUUGAGGGCCGGAAGCUGAAGAGAGUGAGCUCCAUCCUCAAGUAGUCCUUUAUGCUCCUUUUGAACUAGCCUUGCUGUUCUGGGCCGUCAUUUGUGAUUUGGCCUGGAGUGUCUAGGCGUAAAAAACAAGGACCGUAGGCAUUAGACACAGUUAGACGUGUAAGUUCUUAAGGAGUGAAUGCUAUUUUUGUUUUCUUAAUCAAAAUAGUGACCACAAAGUCAAAUCUGAGAUUAUAAUUUACCUUGGUAAUAAAAGAUAAAGGAGAUUUACAAAAAACAA
rnacentral:antisense_RNA from 1 species